UUGAACUGGAGAGUUUGAUCCUGGCUCAGAUUGAACGCUGGCGGCGUGCUUAACACAUGCAAGUCGUGCGAGAAAGGGGACUUCGGUU
rnacentral:rRNA from 1 species